CAAGCAGGACAGGUGAUCGCGGCUGGCCAGACGAAAGGGGCCAGGUGAGGAAAGUCCGGGCUUCACAGGGCAGGAUGCCGGAUAACGUCCGGUGGAGGUGACUCCCAGACCAGUGCAACAGAAAUAAACCGCCGGGAUCUCCCGGUAAGGGUGGAAAGGCAGUGUAAGAGACUACCGCCUGUCUGGUAACAGACAGGGCACAUGUAAACUCCAUUCGAAGCAAGACCGAACAGAAAGCUAUGCGGCUGCCCGUCGCGCUUUCAGGUGGGUCGCUGGAUCCUGUCGGCAACGGCAGGGCUAGAUAGAUGAUCACCCAACGACAUAACCCGGCUUAUCGUUCUGCUUGUCCC
rnacentral:RNase_P_RNA from 1 species